rnacentral:rRNA from 1 species
AGAGUUUGAUCCUGGCUCAGGAUGAACGCUGGCGGCGUGCUUAACACAUGCAAGUCGAACGAACCUUCGGGUUAGUGGCGGACGGGUGAGUAACGCGUGAGAAUCUGCCCUCAGGAGGGGGAUAACGGCUGGAAACGGCCGCUAAUACCCCAUAUGCCGCGAGGUGAAAUGAAUUUCGCCUGGGGAUGAGCUCGCGUCUGAUUAGCUUGUUGGUGAGGUAAUGGCUCACCAAGGCGACGAUCAGUAGCUGGUCUGAGAGGAUGAUCAGCCACACUGGGACUGAGACACGGCCCAGACUCCUACGGGAGGCAGCAGUGGGGAAUUUUCCGCAAUGGGCGAAAGCCUGACGGAGCAACGCCGCGUGAGGGAUGAAGGCCUCUGGGCUGUAAACCUCUUUUAUCAAGGAAGAAGAUCUGACGGUACUUGAUGAAUAAGCCACGGCUAAUUCCGUGCCAGCAGCCGCGGUAAUACGGGAGUGGCAAGCGUUAUCCGGAAUUAUUGGGCGUAAAGCGUCCGCAGGCGGCCUGACAAGUCUGCUGUUAAAGCGUGGAGCUUAACUCCAUUUCAGCAGUGGAAACUGUCAGGCUUGAGUGUGGUAGGGGCAGAGGGAAUUCCCGGUGUAGCGGUGAAAUGCGUAGAUAUCGGGAAGAACACCAGUGGCGAAAGCGCUCUGCUGGGCCAUCACUGACGCUCAUGGACGAAAGCCAGGGGAGCGAAAGGGAUUAGAUACCCCUGUAGUCCUGGCCGUAAACGAUGAACACUAGGUGUCGGGGGAAUCGACCCCCUCGGUGUCGUAGCCAACGCGUUAAGUGUUCCGCCUGGGGAGUACGCACGCAAGUGUGAAACUCAAAGGAAUUGACGGGGGCCCGCACAAGCGGUGGAGUAUGUGGUUUAAUUCGAUGCAACGCGAAGAACCUUACCAGGGCUUGACAUCCUGCGAACCUCUGUGAAAGCGGAGGGUGCCUUCGGGGACGCAGUGACAGGUGGUGCAUGGCUGUCGUCAGCUCGUGUCGUGAGAUGUUGGGUUAAGUCCCGCAACGAGCGCAACCCACGUCUUUAGUUGCCAGCAUUGAGUUGGGCACUCUAGAGAGACCGCCGGUGACAAACCGGAGGAGGGUGUGGAUGACGUCAAGUCAUCAUGCCCCUUACGUCCUGGGCUACACACGUACUACAAUGCUACGGACAAAGAGCAGCAAGUUCGCGAGGACAAGCAAAUCUCAUAAACCGUGGCUCAGUUCAGAUCGUAGGCUGCAACUCGCCUACGUGAAGGAGGAAUCGCUAGUAAUCGCAGGUCAGCAUACUGCGGUGAAUACGUUCCCGGGUCUUGUACACACCGCCCGUCACACCAUGGAAGUUGGUUACACCUUAAGGCAAAGCUAAUACCUUUGACUACGGUACGAUCAGCAACUGGGGUGAAGUCGUAACAAGGUAACC